AGGCCUAUACAGGUGUUGCAUGGUUGUCGUCAGCUCGUGUCGUGAGAUGUUCGGUUAAGUCCGCUAACGAGCGCAACCCUCGUCGUAUGUUAUAUGUGUCAUACGAGACUGCCGGUAAAAGCCGGAGGAAGGUGAGGAUGAUGUCAAGUCAGCAUGACCUUUAUAUCCAGGGCUACACACACGCUACAAUGGUCUGUACAAUGGGUAGCCAAGCCGCGAGGCGGAGCCAAUCCUGAAAGCAGGCCUCAGUUCAGAUUGCAGUCUGCAACUCGACUGCAUGAAGCCGGAGUUGCUAGUAACCGCAGGUCAGCAAUACUGCGGUGAAUACGUUCCCGGGUCUU
rnacentral:rRNA from 1 species